AUGGAGCUGGAGCUGGAGCUGGGGCUUGCACCGCCGAACCACGCGGGAUCGUGCGGCAAGAGGGGGACGAAGGAGGCGUUCGGGAUCGACAAGGCUGGGCUGCCACUCAUCCUGCGCGACGACGAUGGUGACCACGGCAGCAGCUGCAGCGAUGCCCGCGACUGGGAAAUGAGCAACAAGAAGAAGAGGCUGGUGGGGUGGCCGCCGGUGAAGAGCGCGCUCCGCCCGCGCAGCAAUGGCGGCCACGUGAAGGUGAAGAUGGAAGGGGUGCCCAUCGGGAGGAAGGUGGACCUGUCCCGCCACGCCUCCUACCACCAGCUCCACCACACGCUCCGCCUCAUGUUCCCCUCCUCCACUUCUCACCAUGGUGAUCCAUACGCCGUCACCUACGAGGAAGGGGAUGGGGAUUGGAUGCUCGUCGGAGACGUGCCGUGGGAGGACUUUGUCAUGUCGGCCAAGCGGCUCAAGAUACUACUCGUGUAA
rnacentral:rRNA from 1 species